AAGUACACUGGGAAGACCUCAGGGAGCAGCUGCAGCCUGUGGAUGCUGAAUUCUCAGGCUCUGAGGCCACCCCAGCCUCUCCCUCCAAAAGCUCCCAGAAGCACUUUGGAAAUAAUAGUCUAAGGUCCCCAGGCUGGGAUCAAACCUGUGAUCCUCCUGCCUCAGCCUUCCAGAGCCGAAAGUACAGAUGCAGCCACCUCUGCAAAAGCCCCACCUGUGACCACAAGAGGCUCUGAGGGGCCGUCCAGACCCAGCCCUGACAGGGAGUUUCCGCCCUUUGGUCAGAGGAAUGCCAGAUAAACAGCCUGUCAGUUAAGCUUAUCAACAUAGUUACAAUGUCACAGAAAAGAGAUGCCCGAUUCCCAGGCCAGUGGAGUUUCAUCUUAUUCUGAAUAAAGGCCAUAUUAUAUUUAAAAAAAAAAAAAAGAGUAGGAAA